UACGUAGGGUGCGAGCGUUAAUCGGAAUUACUGGGCGUAAAGCGUGCGCAGGCGGCUUCGCAAGUCAGGCGUGAAAUCCCCGGGCUCAACCUGGGAAUUGCAUCUGUGACUGCAUCGCUAGAGUACGGUAGAGGGGGAUGGAAUUCCGCGUGUAGCAGUGAAAUGCGUAGAUAUGCGGAGGAACACCGAUGGCGAAGGCAAUCCCCUGGGCCUGUACUGACGCUCAUGCACGAAAGCGUGGGGAGCAAACAGG
rnacentral:rRNA from 1 species